rnacentral:rRNA from 1 species
UACGUAGGGGGCAAGCGUUGUCCGGAUUUACUGGGCGUAAAGAGCGCGCAGGCGGUCGUUCAAGUCGCGUGUGAAAGCCCCCGGCUCAACUGGGGAGGGUCACGCGAUACUGAUCGACUGGAAGGCAGGAGAGGGUAGUGGAAUUCCCGGUGUAGUGGUGAAAUGCGUAGAUAUCGGGAGGAACACCAGUGGCGAAGGCGACUACCUGGCCUGUUCUUGACGCUGAGGCGCGAAAGCUAGGGGAGCGAACGGG